rnacentral:rRNA from 1 species
AUUGAACGCUGGCGGCAUGCCUUACACAUGCAAGUCGAACGGCAGCAUAGGAGCUUGCUCCUGAUGGCGAGUGGCGAACGGGUGAGUAAUAUAUCGGAACGUGCCCUAGAGUGGGGGAUAACUAGUCGAAAGACUAGCUAAUACCGCAUACGAUCUACGGAUGAAAGUGGGGAUCGCAAGACCUCAUGCUCCUGGAGCGGCCGAUAUCUGAUUAGCUAGUUGGUGGGGUAAAAGCCUACCAAGGCAACGAUCAGUAGCUGGUCUGAGAGGACGACCAGCCACACUGGGACUGAGACACGGCCCAGACUCCUACGGGAGGCAGCAGUGGGGAAUUUUGGACAAUGGGGGCAACCCUGAUCCAGCAAUGCCGCGUGAGUGAAGAAGGCCUUCGGGUUGUAAAGCUCUUUUGUCAGGGAAGAAACGGUAGUAGCGAAUAACUAUUACUAAUGACGGUACCUGAAGAAUAAGCACCGGCUAACUACGUGCCAGCAGCCGCAGUAA